rnacentral:rRNA from 1 species
GUGCCAGCAGCCGCGGUAAUACGUAGGGUGCAAACGUUGUUCGGAAUUAUUGGGCGUAAAGUGUGCGUAGGUGGCUUAAUAAGUUACUGGUGGUAAAUCGGGGCUCAACCUCGUGGAAGUCGGUAAUACUAUUAGACUAGAGGAUCGGAGAGGUUAACGGAAUGGCUCGUGUAGGGGUAAAAUCCUCAAAUAUGAGUUGGAACACCAAACGGCGAAGGAAGUUAACUAUUCGGUACCUGACAUUGAGGCACGAAAGCGUGGGGAGCAAGACGGAUUAGAUACCCGUGUAGUCC